rnacentral:rRNA from 1 species
ACAGAGGGGGCAAGCGUUAUUCGGAAUUAUUGGGCGUAAAGAGCGCGUAGGCGGUAUUUUAAGUGAGAUGUGCAAUCCCUGAGCUUAACUUGGGAACUGCAUCUCAGACUGGAAUGCUAGAGUAUCGGAGAGGGUGGUAGAAUUCCACGUGUAGCGGUGAAAUGCGUAGAGAUGUGGAGGAAUACCAGUGGCGAAGGCGGCCACCUGGACGGUAACUGACGCUGAGGUGCGAAAGUGUGGGUAGCAAACAG